rnacentral:rRNA from 1 species
GACGAACGCUGGCGGCGUGCUUAACACAUGCAAGUCGAACGGAAAGGCCCUGCUUUUGUGGGGUGCUCGAGUGGCGAACGGGUGAGUAACACGUGAGUAACCUGCCCUUGACUUUGGGAUAACUUCAGGAAACUGGGGCUAAUACCGGAUAGGAGCUCCUGCUGCAUGGUGGGGGUUGGAAAGUUUCGGCGGUUGGGGAUGGACUCGCGGCUUAUCAGCUUGUUGGUGGGGUAGUGGCUUACCAAGGCUUUGACGGGUAGGCGGCCUGAGAGGGUGACCGGCGACAUUGGGACUGCGAUAGGCAGCAGAGUCGUACGGGAGGCAGCAGGGGGGAAUAUUGCCCAAUGGGCGGAAGCCGGAUGCAGCAACGCCGCGGGCGGGAUGACGGCCUUCGGGGUGUAAACCGCUUUCGCCUGUGACGAAGCGUGAGUGACGGUAAUGGGUAAAGAAGCACCGGCUAACUACGUG